CAAAAUAGUCUCAAAUUUGUACAUUCAACCAAAGGUACUUUAAUAGUCAUGUACUGCCUUGUUAAAUGUUUUACAUUUUUUCAUAGUAUUUGCUUUUGAGUUAAUUUUGUUUUUUUGGUUAUUCCACAUUCUGUUCUUUUUGUCACUUUGUUUUCUAUAGAAUUAUUUUCAUUAUCAUCUAUUUUUGUUCAUGUUAUUAUUUAUGUGCCUUUACUUGCUGUCUUUAGUUAUUUUAGUAUUUAUCAGGUCUUGCUUUCUGUGUUUUGUUUAGUUUGUAUUAUUUUUAAUGACCCUGUUUCUUCACAGAUCCAUCUACUCAUCGUUCACAACUCUGGCUGCUAAUUUCUUUAUCUCUUACACCUGUACUUCCUCAUCUUGCCCAUUGUCUGCAGUUGUUCACUCUACUAUUUAAGUCCUUUAUUGUCUGUGUUUGUCACUUGGUUCAUUUGGCUGAUUAUGUUUAAGACAGUACACUAUGAUAAAGAUAACAGAUGUCAAUGAGGCUUCAACUGGUUCCCAAAAUGUGCACAGUGAAAUGGAAAGUAAAUGAGACGCAUGACCAUAGCGUGGGUCUUCCAGUUGUUAGGAAUCCAGAGGUCGAACAGCAAGAGAUUGUCAGGGAGGACUUUUUUAUUGACUCUGAGAUCUCAGAUGUAGAGGACUCUGCAUUGGCCUCUACCAUUCCAAAUGAGACUGAUGAUGAAGUGGAACUAGCCUCAGUUCUGCAGGACUUUCAACUGGACCACUUUGACACCAGUGAGAAUUCUGUUGUCAUUGCCUGCAGAAAGCAUAUUCUUAAGAGUGCCUACAUGGCACUCUCAAAGACAUACUUUCCGUGGCGCAAAACUCCAAAUGUGCAGUUUGUGGGAGACUUGGCAGAUGACUAUGGAGGACCAAGGCGGGAAUUUCUUCGGUUUCAAACUGUAGCAACCUGCAAGAUCUGGCAGAGUUGAAAUCCAGUCUUGGGGACGGAUUGCAAGCUGUGGGAUACCAGAUAUUUUCUCUGCCACACUGUUGGAUCUACCUCAGAUGAGAAAUGAGGUUUUGGCUCACUUUGUGUUUCAUAGGGUGGCCAGCAUGAUCCAGCAGUAUGUUGAUGGCAUGAAUUCCUGUGGUCAGUUCUGGCAAAUGGUAAAGAGAUACUGGAAGCAGUUUAUUCUUGUCUUUACCAACAAUGGACAGAAACUUUCAAGGCAAAGUUUCCAGAAUCUCUUUACCAUUUCCUGGAGUCCCGUGGGGAGCAAACAUCUGGAGGAGGAAGAGGCAACCAUUUUCCAGGAAAGAGGUGGACCAGACACUCGAAAAGGUGUUGGUCUUUGUUACCGGGACUGACUGUUUGCCACCUCUGGGGUUUCCGCAGUCCUGCAGUAUCAACUUCUAUGACCAGGAGCCAGGAAGUCGGCGCAUACCCUAUGCAUCAAAAUGCAGUUUGACCCUGUUUCUUCCGAGAGGAGUUGGAGAUGAAGAAGAAUUCAGGGAACUUCUUCACAUGGCACGGAAGGGCUCAAUGGGGGUUGGGAAGGUGUAGUAGGGCUGGACUGUAUCUGUUCUGGGUAUUUUGUUUGUCAUCACUGGAUGUCAAUGUUUUCACUUCAAUAAAUUUGUUGAAUCUACCUGCAGUUUAUUUAUUUUGUGUAACAGGGGUUACUGGUUUACAAAGCUGGCAAAAUUUAUGUUGUAGUGUAUUGACAUAAGAUUCUGAAGUAUUGCUGAAUUUUAAAUGCUUUACACAACAGAAUGAAAUGCAGUAACCAUAUGCUUGAACCCAUGAGAUAAAUUUAAUGGUUUUUGCUGUCUUUGAAAACUAAAAUCAAAAAGGGGAAGACAUGACCUGAUUAUUAUGGCCUCUUAAAUAUUACACAAAAUAGGGAAUUUUGUGGGUGACUGGCUCAGGUAAGAGUUCGUCCUGUAACUGGUGAGUUGCA